CGCCGGGGCGGCACUGAAGGCCAGGGAAAUUAUGCAAAUGAAGACAAAGGAUGCUCACAAAGGGGUCACCCUCCCUAGACCGGAUUGUUGAUAUAUAUGUGUGUGCGCGCGUAUUUCCACGUUAUAUGAAGUUGCUUAUGGUAGAUAUGGACUCUUUUGGACGUGCAGAAGGGGUCGAAACCUGGAACUCCUGCAAGGCUCGGAUGCUCCCCAUUGUAAUAAACCAGGAGCCCUCUGGUCUGUCUACCACCCAGGCCAAUCUAGACAGCGUUUCAAAGGAACGAUUAAAGUAAUGACAUUUCGGGAUGAUGAACGGGCGCGCUCACCCGAGAUAGGCAACCGCAGCCAGAUGCCCAUGUAAAGACGCAUCUACACACACACAUGCCCUUCCCCUAGGCUUACAUUAACGCGCGCAACUGGAUGCGGGAUACCCACGCGACCGUGGUACGCAAACAAGCCGAGGGGCGAUUUCUUUUUUGCCACUGAAUCCCGCGCAAAUGGGCUGUCACUCCCAUAAAGACUCCGUUCCCAGUUAGAACCGAAUUGCUGGCAUGUUUGUCUCUGUUCAGAUCAAUGGAACUGAGACAGGCAAACCUACUCCUAAAGGGUGCUUAGGUGAAAGCCGAUCGAAUUGAAAUCGACGGGGUUUGCUGGCGAGCAAACAUCGUUAGGAUCGAAUGGGGAACCUGCGCAUCCUUCCCCGGCAGAAACAAAUGGGACUCGGGUUCUAAAUAAUUCGGAGGGGCUCCUAGACUUUCUGAAGCCUAGGUGUGCCUGGAGGACCUCUGUAAAUGCGUUCAGAGAGGCUAGCAUGAAAGUCUUUUCAUCCAUAAAGACACACCUCUCCGUGUGUAUUUAUAAAAAUACGCACACAGACAUAUGUAAUGUUGUGGUUGCAUGCUGAUGGGCGUGGAUGUUUGGUUCUGUGAACUUCAGGUCUCUUCCGCCGCCCCCCUCUUAGUCUUUGUCCUAGUCUCCCUUCUCCUAACCAUUUCUUUAUUCCAUUCCAACCACCAAACCAAAUGUCGCGAGGUUUAGCCGGCAGAAUGCUUCUGGGUUCCAAAAACAAAACAAAAAAACAAAACCAAGCUGGACCUACGGAGAGCGUCAAGGCUCUUCUAAGGCAACACAAAGGAGCCGCUCGGCGCUUCAGACCUUCCGCGGUGCACUCGGAUAAAGCCUAGGUGUGAAUCUGACAUGCCUUCGAUAAAACCCAAGGUGCGAGAAAUACAAAGGUCUCCCUUUAAACCGCAAUGUCACCUUAAAGCAGAAACAAAGCAAAAGGAGGGGAAGAAAGGGGAUAUUUAAACACAUGCACACACAAGGACUCUAAGGCCAGGGUGGCCUCUUACGCAUACCAAUGGUUUUUGUCAUUUAUGGCUAGGCAAGAUUUAUGACUCCGUGCGCCCAAGCUGUAAACAGAGCUUCACAACAGAAAACACUUGCUCCUCGUAGCAGAUCGCGGCGGCUCCCAACUUGAAAGGGGAAAGCUGAGCGACGUAGGAGGGGGCCCCCAAAAAAUUCACUGCCACCAAAAAAAGGAGAGCAAGAUGCCGGCUAAGAAACUGGGGGAGGAUUUGCGUGGGGAGCAAGGCGGGUGGCAGAGAGAGAACCCUUCUCCGGAACAAAUUACAGAAGACGGUCCGGGUAUCCACCGCGCGCGCACCCCACUUGCCACAAAGGCAGUCUUGGGAUUCCCAGCAGCGAUGGCGAGGUGGGAGCGCUGUGUCACACUUCGGAAUUACUUUAGGAUAAUUUUGUGGCGAGCAAUGUUCUGAUGCAGAGAUAACAUAUUUCACCUUAGAGGUAAAUCAGAUAAAGGAUCUGUGGUUGGAAGCGGGGGUGGAUUUCUAAGCCCUGAAUAUUUAAAUUAAAUAGGAUAUUUAAUUUAAUAAGUGAAAUUACCCCCCACCCCGAAUUCUGUUGUAGGCUUUGUAUCUUUUCUCUAUCCAACCUGAUCAUUUAAAAAUAAAUAAAUCUUAAUUUUACUUUA